rnacentral:tRNA from 1 species
GCCUGCGUGGCGAAACGGUAAACGCAUCCGCUUUGCAAGCGGACUCCCUGGUCGGAUUGCGGGUUCGAAUCCCGCCGCAGGCACCA